GGUUCCAAGAUCAUGUGUAGGGAAGGAGGCAUCUGAGCUCUGCAGUCCAAAGCGUGGCUGCUAAUGAGGGCUCUAGGGACUUAGGCACAAUCCUCCAUCUGGCAUGCUGCCCUUCCAUUAUCACUCCUCUCAUGAAGCUGCUUACCCCUUGAGGCAGUUUUUCCAACCCUGCCUGCUUGGUGUCAGCACAGCUCCAAUGAAACACUUGAUAAGGGGAUGAACCCAGAGACAACCUCUGGCUCUUGGCCUACCUCUUGCCUUGAAGCUUGUAGGGACAGCAGCUGCUUCAAAUGCCUCAAGAGGAGUAACAAAGCGGAGAGGGCAAUCUCCCCAAAAGGAAAACGCAGUCCUGGAACACCACUGGGAAUUAGAGACACUGAGCCCCAAUUGUUAUCAGAAAUUUGAAAUAAAACUUUUCUUCAGAAAAAGCCCUGCAGCUGGCUGCUAGGGAGACAACUAAAACUACAGGGAAGAGGCAGCAGAGCUCUUUAGGUCUAAAAUUGUCCAGAUGCCAUCAGAACAUUCUGAAACCAAGAUAUGGAGUAAGCUUCCUGAAAUUUUUCUUUGAGGUUGAUUCUAUUGCCACAACUUGUAUGAUACGUUGAACAGUUUCUACCACUCUUGAGAGUAAGUGGAUUGAACAAAAUGGCUGAAGGGAAGAAUUAGCUGUGAAGUAGCCUCAAGUUUUCUGUGGUUCAUUCUUUCCCUGUAGAUGGGUUCUUCAAUGAAUGCAGCUUUCAUCAAGCAAGAAUUCCAGAGACUGGCCACAGGAAUCACACUAACAAUACAGGGAUAUGGACAGGUCAGACUCCAAAGAGAUUUGACUUCAGACGCUGGCAAGCAGGAUGUUUCUAACAAACAGGUUAGAGUCCCAGCUUUUACCACCUACCUGCAAGGUGAAGACAGAAAAAUGUGCACUGUACAAGAGCAAAGAAAAGAGUAGCUAAUAAGCUAGCUGGAUGCAAUUGGAGGAAACAUCUCAACAACAGCCUUCCUGAAAAUUUUAAAGAUAUCAAAAUACAGCCUCAACCACGACGAAGAGAAAGAGAAAAGCUAGCUUCCUUCUCACCUAUAGCAAUCAACAGUCUGCUCUAGAGCAUGGGGAACCCUUGUCUAUGGUCAGCGCAAGGCAUCUGCCUGCCUGGAAGGAGAAGCCGAUAAAUCAGAGCUUUUAGCGAGACCAGCAGCAGCAAUGACGGGGACAGGAGAAGGAAAUUCCCCAUUUUACCCAACAGUGUUAAAUAUUCAACAGUGAGUGAAAGCUGUAGCCUCUUCCUUCCUGGGAAGUCUCUCUCUUGAAUGCUCCUACAGAGUGGAAGCUGGGCUCUUUCCAAUUGAAGAGAAUCUGAUUCACUCCUUCUUUAUCACCCCAUGAUACACAAGGAUUAACUCCCCCUGAAUUGUUGUGGUGCUGAACCCCUCAUU